UACAGAGGGUGCAAGCGUUAAUCGGAAUUACUGGGCGUAAAGCGUGCGCAGUCGGUUAUUUAAGUCGGAUGUGAAAUCCCCGGGCUCAACCUGGGAAUUGCAUUCGAUACUGGAUAGCUAGAGUUCGGCAGAGGGAAGCGGAAUUUCGGGUGUAGCGGUGAAAUGCGUAGAUAUCCGAAGGAACAUCAGUGGCGAAAGCGGCUUCCUGGACCAGAACUGACGAUCAGGCACGAAAGCGUGGGGAGCAAACAGGAUUAGAUACCCUGGUAGUCCACGCCAUAAACGAUGACAACUAGACGUUGGGGGCAUAUGGCCCACAGUGUCGCAGCUAACGCGUUAAGUUGUCCGCCUGGGGAGUACGGCCGCAAGGUUGAA
rnacentral:rRNA from 1 species